rnacentral:lncRNA from 1 species
GGAAAGUUCACCUUCAUCACUAGUCUGUCAGUCAAUAAGCAUCUAUUAAGCACCUACUGUGUGCCAGGCUUUACAAAUAUUAUCUCAUUUAGUCCCAUGGAAGAGCCAGGGCUGCUUUCUGGGACUAUGGUGGCAGGGAAAAGGUUUUCUGGAUGCAGUGAAAAGGCUGGUCAGGAGACAGAGGAUUGAAGCUGGGAUUCUUGGAAGAGCAUUUGGCCAUGUUUUGAAUUAUGUGAUUGUUUCUCUGGAUCAAAGAACAGGUUGGCAGACACUUGUUAAAGAAAGCACUAAAACCUUGCCGGGAUUUCCGAGUGGAUCUGCACAAGAGAGAAGAACUUUGAAGAAAUGGUUAUGAUAAUGCAUGUUAGCCAGGCCUCCCCUCAGUCAGAGGACAGAGGUCCCUGGGAGCACGGACGCGGCUGGGAGACGCUCGGGAGCUCGGCUCCUCAGUUUACAGAAGCCGCCGCGGCCGGUCACGUCUCCAACGUCACACAGGAAAACGCUUUCCCAGGGCGGCCUCAAGCCCGGCUCCGGCGACUCCGGGCUCCCUCGCUUUCCAGGCACCAGGUUUCAUUUUAGAGCAUCCGCCGGAGAAAACAACAAAUUCAAGAAAACAAGAAACCAGAAACAUGAUUGACGAACGUUCUCGCGUUUCUCUUAUCCCCGCCUCCACCGUUUCCUUUCUACCUUCUCUGCCUCUCUCUUUUUCUCCUUUCUCAUUUUUUUUUAUCCCAAUAGAUCUUAGCCCAGUCAUUUUCCAUCUCUGGGUCUCAGGUUCACCGCCUGAAAAAAUUAUAGGAUUGGACUAGAUGACGUCCAGGUCCCUUCCAGUUUUGAGUCCUUAUUUCUGUGAAACAUGUUAAGAGAUACACAAAGAAAACCGUACAAAUGAGCAUUUCAAUUGGGCAUGUAGCUAGGUGUCACAGUGGAUAGAGCAAAGGACCUGGAAUCAGGAAGGCUUAAGUUUAGAUCUGACCCCAGACGCUUACUAGCUGUGAAACAUUGGGCAUGUCAUUUAACCUCUGCAUGCCUCAGUUUCUUCAUCUGUAAAAUGGGUGUAAUAGCAUUUCCCUUCCAGGGUUGUUAUGAGGAGGGAAGGAGGGAAGGAAUAAGGAUUUCUAUAGCACUUACAGUGUACAAGUUCUUUAUAAAUAUUCUCUUUUUAAGCCCCACAACAAC